CCUCUCUUCUCCUUCCUCUCUCCCCUCCCCUGCGCCGCACGCCCCACUGCCGCCCGCGCGCACCCUCACCUCCUCCCAGACCGCCGGAGACCCCCACCCUCUCCUCUACCCCACCACCGCCGGUGCCCCCAAGCCUCUACCACCACCGCCGCCGGCGCGCCGGAGACCGCGCGCGCCUUCUCCUUCUUUCCCAAGCGCCCAAAACCCUAGCCCGCGGCGCAACCAUUGCGACCGAGCUCUGGAUCCGCGGGCUGGCGGUGCAGCACCGGAUCGUCCCUCCCCUCCCCUGCGCCGUCCGCCUCCUCCUUCCCUUCCCCUACGCCGCCUCCCUCCGCCCUCACGAUACGAUUCAAAUCCAUCCUUGCGUGGGAAAUCUGAUCCGAUCCGGUCCAGGGCGCUGCCAUCAUGCACCACCACCACCAGCUGGACCAGUGGCUCGCCGGCGGCAUGGGCGGGGUGCUGCGCCCGACCAAGUCCACCCCAUGCUCCCCCAUCAAGCCGGCGGCGGCUUCCAUGCGGCGCGCGCACUCUGACUCCUUCCAUGCAGCAGCGGCGUCCAUGCGGCGGCGGCCGGAUCCAGUCCAGCACGUCCCAUGGCGCCGCAUGACCCACCCUCUCUGGUUCAUCCGCUUCUUCGCAUGGAUCCACAUAACCCACCCUCACCGCACCUCGUGUCCUCUCUCUGACUCUCAGAUCCACCACGCCAAUGUCGCCAUGGGCCUCGACCUCCACGGACGGUGGCCAGAUCAAGCGGAGCUUCCCUUCCUCUGCCCGGCGGGACAAGGACAAGGACAAGCAGCAAGAUCAUCGCAUCAUCAAGCGACUGUUGAUUGGUCACCACCAAGCUCAGGUCCAUGGAGCUCCUGUGUCAAGGGCACAAAGAAGCAGCAGCAGCUCAAAGUCUGUCUGGUGUCCAUGAGUGACUGAUGAAGGGGAUGGUGCUACUGCGGCCAAUACCUCUGAGCCGCUGUAAUCUUAUUUUGAUUGUUGCUUUAAUUUGUGAUGUACUGCUUUUGUACACACUUGAUUGGCAGGGCGGAUUGAUUAAUGUGCCAGGUUUUUUGUCCCAUAGGUUUUCCUGGUGGAUGUCGAAUUCACGAACCUUUUCUGUGUUUCUGGGUAUUGUUGCCGAAUAUGAAUAGUGCUCUGUUGAUUCUGUUAAGAAUUUAAUAAGUGCAUGCUAUACUGUUGCUUACUAGGCCAGAAGUGUUUUUUUAUGAUUGAUCUCUUGUUAAGUCUACCCGUUUUAGUUCUUAUAAAUAAGUUGCUGAUGUCAGUUUUGGUUCUGUAUAACUGGUGACCACUAAUGCUAGAAGUCAUUAGUAGAUCAUGAAUCCUUCAUUUUGUGUUGCGUUCACCAGAAAACUGCUAUUUAUCUGCUAGUUCUGGAUAAUUUGGUGACUACAAACUAAAUCCCCGAGUUAGAUAUAAAUGGAUCACCAAUGUUUUUAAGUAGUAAGAAUGGAACUGAAUCCUUCACAAGCCACAUUUAUCUCGGUUCCAUUGACCUAAAAAAUCUCACACAAAGUAUACUGUUCUUCCUUGCCUAAUGUUCUUGUUGCCGAUAAUAGGGCCUGUAGAUAGCAAGUUAUUUCCUAGUGGUUACUUAUGCUUAUUGUGUAUCACAUUGAAAAAGAAAAUGCACAAUGAGCUUGUUUGAUCUUUUUUAUGCUUAUGUGUACUUGAUCAGGGAAGUCCUAUUUCCUGUGAUCUUUCCUAUCAUUUGCUAGUGUGAUGCUUCAAGAUGACAAAUUUUAAAACCCAAACUAUUGUAAACAAACUUUCUACAUCUUGAGAAUUAAUUUUUCAUGAUAGCCGAAUAGUGUAGUUGAUCAUCACUAUUGCUAAAUGCUAUUGCCUGAUAUAAUAUAAGUAUGAGCACUCAACCAUUGUACAGCUGUUUGCAUAUUUGUUUUGUAUUUUUUAUAAAUGAUGAUAGUUUGUGCAAGAUGUUCACAUGUUAUUUUUUUACUAAAAUAUCUUAUGCCCUUGACUUAGCUUGACCCAGAACAACAGCAUCCUUGAUGCGUACUGACCUUCACCUCAUUCUUUCUCUCACAGACUCGAAGGAGACCGUAUGCAAGGCACCUCCUCUUCGGCUGUGAGAGUGUCCAGGGUCGUGGGUGCGGCUAAUGCCUAUGUCUGUGGCCGCACUUGACACUGCCCUCUCUUUAAGGGCAUGUAUCAUUUUUUCUAAGUCUGCUAUCUUUUCCCAAGUCAUGUACUGCUAUGUAUUGUUUGAUGAUAAUUACCCAAGUUAGUGCAUGAUGUUAAGGAUAACCUGAGAACACUUGCCUAAGUUUAUAAGAUAUGACAUGUGAUAGUCCAAGCCUGCUUUGCUGCUCUUUCAAUGCUUUUCCUGCUGUACUGUGCUUCUCUAGUUGUUUGAAUGCUUUUGCUGCUAGCCUGCUACUAGCUUGAAUAGGUGUGCACUUGUGCUGGUGGUGGUGCUGCUUGUGCUGCUCCUACUGAUUUAAUACUUAUGCUCACGCUGUUGUUGAUUAAAUGCUUAUGUUGCUGCAUGCUUAUGCUACUGAUUCAAUGCUUAGGAAAUUGAUUGAAUUGAACCUAUUGUAAUCCUUCCUGUUGCUGCAUGCUUAUACUCAGUUUAUAUAUGCGGUGUGUGGGGAUUCAAUCUGGAACAGUUGUGUGUGAUUGAUGUCAGCAUGUGGUAUAGCCACAAGGUGAUUUGGUAACUGACUAAAUUUGCUGUGCAGUAUUGAAGUUAUGCUCAUUGCUGUGUACAGUACUAAACUUGUACAAUUCUUGUCCUGUUUCCACACAACAUUAAGAUUAGAGUCGUGCUUUUUGAAUGUUUUGCCAUUUUUAUGGCCCGUGUGCUAGCAAACUGAGCUAAUUAAGGGUGCUUCAUCUUUGUCCUUCAGCUUCUAUUCUUACGACAAUUAAAUAGAGGAUCUAUUUUGCUCCCUGCUCGGAUUCCAAUCGAUGCACUCUGAGUAUCAAUGUGUUGUUUUAAUCCUGAUGAUGACGUGGUAGUAUGAAGUGGACACCAUAUUCCUGUUUAAAUGCGCGCAUAAGGAAUAAUUUGUUUCAUCAUGUCCUGGUUUACCCAUGCCAGAUUUGCUGCUUCCGGAACUCUUGGUCCUUCAUAUCUAAAGUUUACAUGUACUGUAGAAGCUCUACUUUAUGCUAAUACCUGCUUGUGUAACAUUUUGAAUGGUAUACUUCUAAAUGGACAAGUACAUGUGGCGUCCAUCAUCAACGAUGAUCCGGACUAGAUGUUCAACUGCAGAACCAUCCAUCAUAUCAACACACAAAGUCAGAUGUUUUGCAAAAGGAAGGAGCAGUACUUGAAGAAGCAGAUUACAAUGUUUUCUCGUGUACUUUAAGAAGCACUAGAUAGGCUCGUUCUAUUUAUUUUUCAUGUUCUGGAGUAUUCCAGCGCCUGAAUGCUUGACUACAACAUGUUGUAGGUUGCUUGGAUCUGUAUAAAAUACAUAUGUGAUGGAAAUUUGUAGAAUGUGUGUUCUGAGAUAUUUCCAUAAUAUUCAGCUAAUUCGUGGUAA